UGGAUGAAGAUUACAUAAAGAUAUUGUAUUUUCCAGAUUUCCUAAAUAUCCUAAUUUACGAAACAAGAAAUUAAGAAACAAUUAGAUUCAGACCAUGAAACGAGAUAAUUCUCUCUUCUGAAGGACGCCUUCUCCUUAUUUAAGCCUGUGCUAAUUACAUUUCGAUGUAUCUUGCUUUCUAUCGAGCAGGAUACCAAACAAUAAUAUUACAUAGAGAUGCAGUACCAACAAUAUUCACUCACAUAUCUCACAUAAGGUAAAGUUAUAACGACCAGAGCCGACACUAUACACUUCUAAAGAAAGUGAACAAGAGGAAAUAUUUUUUUUUUAUCACCAAAAGUCGGAAUUGUUCAGUGCUUCGUAGUCAUUGUAUUCUAACUAUAUUGAAUAAAAAUCUUAUAAAGAA